rnacentral:rRNA from 1 species
AGUCAACAUGCCCAGGGGACGUGGAUAACCUCGGGAAACUGAGGAUAAACCGCGAUAGGUCAUCACUUUUGGAAUGGGUAAUGACUUAAAUCUACAUGGCCCCUGGAUUGGACUGCGGCCGAUCAGGCUGUUGGUGAGGUAAUGGCCCACCAAACCUGUAACCGGUACGGGCUCUGAGAGGAGGAGCCCGGAGAUGGGCACUGAGACAAGGGCCCAGGCCCUAUGGGGCGCAGCAGGCGCGAAACCUCUGCAAUAGGCGAAAGCUUGACAGGGUUACUCUGAGUGAUUUCCGUUAAGGAGAUCUUUUGGCACCUCUAAAAAUGGUGCAGAAUAAGGGGUGGGCAAGUCUGGUGUCAGCCGCCGCGGUAAUACCAGCACCCCGAGUGGUCGGGACGUUUAUUGGGCCUAAAGCAUCCGUAGCCGGUUCUACAAGUCUUCCGUUAAAUCCACCUGCUCAACAGAUGGGCUGCGGAAGAUACUAUGGAGCUAGGAGGCGGGAGAGGCAAGCGGUACUCGAUGGGUAGGGGUAAAAUCCGUUGAUCCAUUGAAGAACCACCAGUGGCGAAGGCGGCUUGCCAGAACGCGCUCGACGGUGAGGGAUGAAAGCUGGGGGAGCAAACCGGAUUAGAUACCCGGGUAGUCCCAGCUGUAAACGAUGCAGACUCGGUGAUGAGUUGGCUUUAUGCCAACUCAGUGCCGCAGGGAAGCCGUUAAGUUUGCCGCCUGGGGAGUACGGUCGCAAGACUGAAACUUAAA